GGUCCCGUAGCUCAGUGGUAGAGCACCGGUCAUUUAUGAUAGCGUACAAAUGAAAGUGUUUCACCGGAGGUCGCAUGUUCAAUUCAUGCCAGGACCA